rnacentral:rRNA from 1 species
CAGUCGCCGCGGUAAAACGUAGGGCGCAAGCGUUGUCCGGAAUUAUUGGGCGUAAAGAGCUCGUAGGCGGUCUGUCGCGUCUGGUGUGAAAUCCCGAGGCUCAACCUCGGGCUUGCAUCGGGUACGGGCAGACUAGAGUGCGGUAGGGGAGACUGGAAUUCCUGGUGUAGCGGUGGAAUGCGCAGAUAUCAGGAGGAACACCGAUGGCGAAGGCAGGUCUCUGGGCCGCAACUGACGCUGAGGAGCGAAAGCAUGGGGAGCGAACAGGAUUAGAUACCCCAGUAGUCCCUGUCUCUUAUAC